UCUUUUUCUUUAAUUUUCAUUUUUUUUUUUUAUUUACGCCAAAGCGUGUGAUAAA
rnacentral:ribozyme from 14 species